GACGAGCGCUGGCGGCGUGCUUAACACAUGCAAGUCGAACGGAAAGGCCCUGCUUGCAGGGUACUCGAGUGGCGAACGGGUGAGUAACACGUGGGUGAUCUGCCCUGCACUUCGGGAUAAGCCUGGGAAACUGGGUCUAAUACCGGAUAGGAGCCAUUUUUAGUGUGAUGGUUGGAAAGUUUUUUCGGUGUAGGAUGAGCUCGCGGCCUAUCAGCUUGUUGGUGGGGUAAUGGCCUACCAAGGCGGCGACGGGUAGCCGGCCUGAGAGGGUGGACGGCCACAGUGGGACUGAGAUACGGCCCAGACUCCUACGGGAGGCAGCAGUGGGGAAUAUUGCACAAUGGGCGCAAGCCUGAUGCAGCGACGCCGCGUGGGGGAUGACGGCCUUCGGGUUGUAAACUCCUUUCGCUAGGGACGAAGCUUUUUGUGACGGUACCUAGAGAAGAAGCACCGGCUAACUACGUG
rnacentral:rRNA from 1 species